rnacentral:rRNA from 1 species
UGCAGCGAUGCCGCGUGAGUGAAGAAGGCCUUUGGGUUGUAAAGCUCUUUCGUCGGGGAAGAAAAUGACUGUACCCGAAUAAGAAGGUCCGGCUAACUUCGUGCCAGCAGCCGCGGUAAUACGAAGGGACCUAGCGUAGUUCGGAAUUACUGGGCUUAAAGAGCUCGUAGGUGGUUAAAAAAGUUGGUGGUGAAAUCCCAAAGCUUAACUCUGGAACUGCCAUCAAAACUUUUUAACUAGAGUAUGAUAGAGGAAAGUGGAAUUUCUAGUGUAGAGGUGAAAUUCGUAGAUAUUAGAAAGAACACCAAUUGCGAAGGCAGCUUUCUGGAUCAUUACUGACACUGAGGAGCGAAAGCAUGGGUAGCGAAGAGGAUUAGAUACCCUCGUAGUCCAUGCCGUAAACGAUGUGUGCUAGACGUUGGAAAUUUAUU